rnacentral:rRNA from 1 species
GCCAAACAACUAGCUUAAAUAUAAAUUUCUCCAACAACAUUAAAAAACUUUACCUCAACCAAAAUCAUAAAAAUAAAACAUUCUCCCGCCUCAGUAUAAGUGACAGAAAAGGCCCUAAUAAGCUAUAAAAAAAGUACCGCAGGGGAAAGAUGAAAAAGAUAUGAAAAAGCCCAUUAAAGCCCAAUAAAGCAGAGACUAAACCUCGUACCUUUUGCAUCAUGAUUUAGCCAGUCAUUCUGAGCAAAGAGUACUUUAGUUCACUACCCCGAAACUAGGAGAGCUACCCCGGGACAGCCUAUUAUAGGGCCAACCCGUCUCUGUGGCAAAAGAGUGGGAAGAUCCCCGGGUAGAGGUGAUAAACCUAACGAACCUAGUUAUAGCUGGUUGUCUAAGAAAUGGAUAAAAGUUCAGCCUAACACUCCUCAACUCAAAGAUUAUUAAUAAUACAAGAGCCUGAGAAAUACGUAAGAGUUAGUCAGAGGGGGUACAGCCCCUCUGAAAAGGGAAACAACCCUGCCAGGAGGUUAAAGAUUAUAUUGACCAAGAUUGCUGUUUUAGUGGGCCUAAAAGCAGCCACCUAAACAGAAAGCGUUAAAGCUCAAACAGAUAAAAAUCUAUAAUUCAAAUAACUUUUUCUUAAACCCCUAACCAUAUUAGACCUUUCUAUGCAAACAUAGAAGUGAUACUGCUAAAAUGAGUAACAAGAAGGACCGCCCUUCUCCCGGCCCAUGUGUAAGCUAGACCGAACCCCCACUAGCAAUCAACGAACCCACCAAAAGAGAGUAAUGCAACCAAAAAAAUAAACAAGAAAAAGUUGCAAAUUCCUAUCGUUAACCCUACACUGGAGGACCAUGAGGAAAGACUAAAAGAAGAGGAAGGAACUAGGCAAACACAAACCUCGCCUGUUUACCAAAAACAUGGCCUCCCGCAAAAAUCAAUGUAUUGGAGGUCUUACCUGCCCAGUGACUAAGUUAAACGGCCGCGGUAUUCUGACCGUGCAAAGGUAGCGCAAUCACUUGUCUUUUAAAUGAAGACCUGUAUGAAUGGUGAAACGAGGGCUUAACUGUCUCCCCCCUCCUGUCAGUGAAAUUGAUCUAUCCGUGCAGAAGCGGGUAUUUAUAUACAAGACGAGAAGACCCUUUGGAGCUUAAGAUAAAGACCAACUAUGUUAAAUCAAAAACUAAACCAAGUAGCCCUGGUCCCUAUCUUCGGUUGGGGCGACCACGGGAGAAAACAAAGCUCCCAUGAGGACUGGGGUAAACCCUAAAACUAAGAGAGACAUCUCUAAGGCACAGAACAUCUGACCCUUGAUCCGGCUAUAUGCCGACCAACGAACCAAGUUACCCUAGGGAUAAGCAGGCGCAAUCCCCUUUCAGGAGGCCAUAUCUAACAAUGGGGGUUU